rnacentral:tRNA from 3 species
GGAGACUUGGCCGAGUGGCUGAAGGCGCGCCCCUGCUAAGGGUGUAUAGGGUUUAUAGCUCUAUCGAGGGUUCGAAUCCCUCAGUCUCCGCCA